ACGGGUGAGUAACACGUGGGCAACCUGCCUGUAAGACUGGGAUAACUUCGGGAAACCGAAGCUAAUACCGGAUAGGAUCUUCUCCUUCAUGGGAGAUGAUUGAAAGAUGGUUUCGGCUAUCACUUACAGAUGGGCCCGCGGUGCAUUAGCUAGUUGGUGAGGUAACGGCUCACCAAGGCAACGAUGCAUAGCCGACCUGAGAGGGUGAUCGGCCACACUGGGACUGAGACACGGCCCAGACUCCUACGGGAGGUAGCAGUAGGGAAUCUUCCGCAAUGGACGAAAGUCUGACGGAGCAACGCCGCGUGAGUGAUGAAGGCUUUCGGGUCGUAAAACUCUGUUGUUAGGGAAGAACAAGUACGAGAGUAACUGCUCGUACCUUGACGGUACCUAACCAGAAAGCCACGGCUAACUACGUGCCAGCAGCCGCGGUAAUACGUAGGUGGCAAGCGUUAUCCGGAAUUAUUGGGCGUAAAGCGCGCGCAGGCGGUUUCUUAAGUCUGAUGUGAAAGCCCACGGCUCAACCGUGGAGGGUCAUUGGAAACUGGGGAACUUGAGUGCAGAAGAGAAAAGCGGAAUU
rnacentral:rRNA from 1 species